rnacentral:rRNA from 1 species
AUUGAACGCUGGCGGCGUGCCUUACACAUGCAAGUCGAACGGCAGCGGGGGAGAAGCUUGCUUUUCCUGCCGGCGAGUGGCGAACGGGUGAGUAAUACAUCGGAACGUGCCCUGUAGUGGGGGAUAACUAGUCGAAAGAUUAGCUAAUACCGCAUACGACCUGAGGGUGAAAGUGGGGGACCGUAAGGCCUCAUGCUAUAGGAGCGGCCGAUGUCUGAUUAGCUAGUUGGUGGGGUAAAGGCCUACCAAGGCGACGAUCAGUAGCUGGUCUGAGAGGACGAUCAGCCACACUGGGACUGAGACACGGCCCAGACUCCUACGGGAGGCAGCAGUGGGGAAUUUUGGACAAUGGGCGAAAGCCUGAUCCAGCAAUGCCGCGUGUGUGAAGAAGGCCUUCGGGUUGUAAAGCACUUUUGUCCGGAAAGAAUGGCUCUGGUUAAUACCUGGGGUCGAUGACGGUACCGGAAGAAUAAGGACCGGCUAACUACGUGCCAGCAGCCGCCGUAA